UACAGUUAAAUGCAAUAGGCCUAAUUGUUUCAAAAUCCCACGGCCAACUGGGAUUUGUCUCACGGCAUACCAUUUGGGAACCACUGGCUUAGAGGAUCACAGAUUCAAAGAGAAGAUUCAUCAAACCGCGAGAGUCAACAGAAAAUAAGAAGGCCGAGGACUUCACACAAGACAUGGUCUCCAGCUUCCAGGUGGAUCCAUCCGAGGAGCCUCUUAAAACUUUGGCUCUACAUGAGAUGCUGGUGGCCCUGAUGAAGGAUGAGGACAAGGUGCUUCUCCAGAUCAGGGAAUCUAAGAAAGAGAAGCAAGCACUUUCUGGAUGGCGGAACACCACUUGAAACUCAACCUUUACAAGACCAAACUGCUCUGCCUUCUGGGGAAAGGGCUCUCCCAUCCAAGACCUUACCAUCAACGUCAGCACCUCGGGUUGUUUCCCCGACUUGGACUGCAAGGAAUCUGGGUGUGACACUGGACGACCAACUGUCCUUCAGUGCCAACAUCGCUGCAACAACCCGCUCCUGCAGACGCACUCUUUAUAACAUCAGGAGGAUGCGUCCCCUGCUGACUCAGAAGGCAACGCAGGUUUUUGUCCAAGCUCUUGUCAUCUCACGCCUUGACUACUGUAACUACCUCCUUGCUCAUUCAGAAUGCAGCAGCCCAACUGAUCUUUAACCUCCCCAAGUUCUCCCACACUGCACCGCUCUUCCACUCCCUUCACUGUGUCGGCCCAAAUCUGCUUCAAGACUCUGGUGCUGGCCUACCGUGCUGUGAAUGGAUCAGACCCUUCCUAAAUCCAGGCCAUAGUUAAACCAUACACCCCAGCUCGCUCACCUUGCUCUGCAUCGGCCAAUCGGCUUGCUACUCCCUCACUGCGAGCGGGACACAGAUUCCCCUCAAACAAAACCCGCCUGUUUGCUACCCUGGCUCCAAAAUGGUGGAACAAGCUGCCCAUUGAUGUCAGGUCAGCAGAAAGUUGUCACACCUUCCGUCGCAGACUGAAAACUCACCUGUUUCAACUUUACUGCAGCCAAUGAAGUAGAAAAAGAACUAAAAUAAAUCUGUUCUUUGUAUGUUGCACUUACAUUGGUUUGGCUUAUUUGAGGCUAUUGUUCUGCACUUAAAUGAUUUCCCCUAUUUGAAGCUAAUGUACUAAAGAUAUCGGCUGUUCGGAGUUCAAUCCUCAUGAUUGUUUGCACUUAUUGUAAGUCGCUUUGGACAAAAGUGCCAGCUAAAUGAACUGUAAUGUAACAUGUGCAUCAUUUAGGUGCCAGCCAUGAAAUAGCAAAAAAUAAAUGAAUACAUCUUAAUCCAUAGUGGAAUGAUGGGGGAUAAAUAGAGGGAUAAUGUGAGAGGUCAUGAGGUGUUCAGGGAGUUAUCUAUAUCUGUUGAAAUCAACAGGGAGGCUAACAAAUGAAUUUGAAUAAAA